rnacentral:misc_RNA from 1 species
GAUGAAGAACGUAGCGAAAUGCGAUAAGUAGUGUGAAUUGCAGAAUUCAGUGAAUCAUCGAAUCUUUGAACGCACAUUGCGCCCCUUGGCAUUCCAUGGGGCAUGCCUGUUCGAGCGUCAUUUGUACCUUCAAGCUCUGCUUGGUGUUGGGUGUUUGUCUCGCCUCUGCGUGUAGACUCGCCUCAAAACAAUUGGCAGCCGGCGUAUUGAUUUCGGAGCGCAGUACAUCUCGCGCUUUGCACUCAUAACGACGACGUCCAAAAGUACAUUUUUACACUCUUGACCUCGGAUCAGGUAGGGAUACCCGCUGAACUUAAGCAUAUCAAUAAGCGGAGGA